CCUACGGGAGGCAGCAGUGGGGAAUAUUGGACAAUGGGGGGAACCCUGAUCCAGCCAUGCCGCGUGUGUGAAGAAGGCCCUCGGGUUGUAAAGCACUUUCAGUGGGGAAGAACGCCUGGUGGUUAAUACCCAUCAGGAAAGACAUCACUCACAGAAGAAGCACCGGCUAACUCCGUGCCAGCAGCCGCGGUAAUACGGAGGGUGCGAGCGUUAAUCGGAAUUACUGGGCGUAAAGCGCGCGUAGGUGGCUUGAUAAGCCGGUUGUGAAAGCCCCGGGCUCAAGCUGGGAACGGCAUCCGGAACUGUCAAGCUAGAGUGCAGGAGAGGAAGGUAGAAUUCCCGGUGUAGCGGUGAAAUGCGUAGAGAUCGGGAGGAAUACCAGUGGCGAAGGCGGCCUUCUGGACUGACACUGACACUGAGGUGCGAAAGCGUGGGUAGCAAACAGGAUUAGAUACCCGAGUAGUC
rnacentral:rRNA from 1 species